AUUGAACGCUGGCGGCAGGCCUAACACAUGCAAGUCGAGCGAGCGGCGGGCGGGUGAGCAAUGUAUGGGGACUGCCAGAGGGAGGGGGAUAACUACUGGAAACGGGAGCUAACACCGCAUACCAUCAUAUCACCCAUAUGGGUUUAGCGUGUAGGGGAGGUAAAGGCUCACCGAGGCGACUAUCCCUAGCUGGUCUGCGGAGAUGUUCAGCCACCCUGGGACUGCGACACGGCCCAGACUCCUACGGAGGCAGCAGUGGAGAAUAUUGCACAAUGGGCGCAAGCCUGAUGCAGCCAUGCCGCGUGUAUGAAGAAGGCCUUCGGGUUGUAAAGUACUUUCAGUCGGGAGGCGUUACCGACAGAAGAAGCACCGGCUAACUCCGUGCCAGCAGCCUCGGUAAUAU
rnacentral:rRNA from 1 species